GGGCGGUUAGCUCAGUUGGUUAGAGCGCCACGUUGACAUCGUGGAGGCCGUUGGUUCGAGUCCAAUACCGCCCACCA
rnacentral:tRNA from 1 species